rnacentral:rRNA from 1 species
ACACCGGCAGCUCAAGUGGUGGCCAUUUUUAUUGGGCCUAAAGCGUUCGUAGCCGGCUUGAUAAGUCUCUGGUGAAAUCCCAUAGCUUAACUGUGGGAAUUGCUGGAGAUACUAUUAGGCUUGAGGCCGGGAGAGGUUAGGGGUACUCCCAGGGUAGGGGUGAAAUCCUAUAAUCCUGGGAGGACCACCUGUGGCGAAGGCGCCUAACUGGACUGUAACUGACGUUGAGGCUCGAAAGCGUGGGGAGC